CCGUCAGCGUGAGCGCCUGCGAAGAAAUCUCCCCCGUCCCGCUCGCGGCGCCCACGCGGCCGGCCAUCUUCCUCCCACUUUGUUGUGUCCCGUGUGAGCCCGGCUCAGAGCAAGAGCAGGAGCGGAUCAAUCUCCUUUGGUUUCGUUUUUACGAAAAAAAACUUGGAUCUGUAAGAGGUGGCCGGUGGGUGACGAGCUCCAAGGCAGCGGACGAACAGGUGCUCCUCUCGUCAUCCUCGUCCCGAUGACAGGGCAGGCACGCGGCAGAUCCGACUGCUCCAAUGUGGAUUUGGCGGCGGGGCAGACAGAUCAACUGAGAGGUAGCCGGAGACGGCGAGCUCCAAGGCUGGGUGUCACUCCCUUUGAUCCGGCUGCUCCGACAUGAAUUCGGCAGCGGGGCGGAUGGAUCGACGGAGAGGAGGCCGGAGAACGUGAGCUCCAAGGCUGGGUGCCACUCCCUCCCGGCUAAGAUUGGUUGGGAAAUAUGUUAAUUUGAGAACUUGUGUACUUGAGGAGGCUUCGGCUGCCAUCAUUGACACCCCCCCCCCCCCCCUACGAUUUUGUGGGUCAAUCCUAACUGAUGGUGCGCUUGAUUCCUUGUGCACAUGCAGAUCUCUGAACUUCAGGUACUCCUGCAAGCAUAAUCCCUGGUACUCCUGCAUAUCUGCUGAAUCCCUGCCGCAGCAGGCGACAUUGGAGUGCUCCGCGGAUGAUCUUCUACCUCCGGCGAAGUCGGCGCUUCUUUCUCCGACGAACUCGACGGCGACCUUGGAUGUUUCGUGGACAAUUUACCCGAUGGAGAUAGUUUCGUGGCAAUUGACCUGAUGCAGAUUUCAGCCGAGAGAGCAGUUUGCUCAGAGUUAGAGACGAGCAAGAGGCCGAUCUCUAAGAUUGACGCUGACAUAGAUGAGGAGUGGGAGGUCUGCGUGGAGUUAAAAAUAGUAGGGGCUGUGCUGCCCAAUUUCAUCCAUGAUGUGUACAUCCAAUGCUACUGUCAAUGGUGCCUAAGGCAUCCAGUCAAGUGCAGGUGGAGGCCAAGGAGGUUCUGCUCUCGGACAUGCCAACAAUAAUGAUUGAUGACACCGACGUGCAGACUAUAAGUUCCCCCCUCAAUCUCGAUAUAUUGGUGUCCACACAUCCUCCAUUUACAUUAUUAGUAUGUAAUAGAUUCUGAAAGUUGAUUCAAGUUUGUAGUGCUUCAAGUCUUAAAGUUAAUACAGUAAUUUUGUCAACUGAUUGGUACUGUAGUGCUUCAAGUCUGAUUGCUCCCUGUUUGAUUCAUGUGUGAAAGUUGAUACAAUCAUUUUGUCAACUAAUUCCUAUUGUAGUGUGAUUGGUCCAUGUUUGAUUGAAGUCUGAAAGUUGAUUGUUUGAUAA